rnacentral:rRNA from 1 species
AGAGUUUGAUCCUGGCUCAGGAUGAACGCUGGCGGCGUGCCUAAUACAUGCAAGUCGAACGCUUCACUUCGGUGAAGAGUGGCGAACGGGUGAGUAAUACAUAAGUAACCUGGCAUCUACAGGGGGAUAACUGAUGGAAACGUCAGCUAAGACCGCAUAGGUGUAGAGAUCGCAUGAACUCUAUAUGAAAAGUGCUACGGGACUGGUAGAUGAUGGACUUAUGGCGCAUUAGCUUGUUGGUAGGGUAACGGCCUACCAAGGCGACGAUGCGUAGCCGACCUGAGAGGGUGACCGGCCACACUGGGACUGAGACACGGCCCAGACUCCUACGGGAGGCAGCAGUAGGGAAUUUUCGGCAAUGGGGGAAACCCUGACCGAGCAACGCCGCGUGAAGGAAGAAGUAAUUCGUUAUGUAAACUUCUGUCAUAGAGGAAGAACGGUGGAUAUAGGGAAUGAUAUCCAAGUGACGGUACUCUAUAAGAAAGCCACGGCUAACUACGUGCCAGCAGCCGCGGUAAUACGUAGGUGGCGAGCGUUAUCCGGAAUUAUUGGGCGUAAAGAGGGAGCAGGCGGCACUAAGGGUCUGUGGUGAAAGAUCGAAGCUUAACUUCGGUAAGCCAUGGAAACCGUAGAGCUAGAGUGUGUGAGAGGAUCGUGGAAUUCCAUGUGUAGCGGUGAAAUGCGUAGAUAUAUGGAGGAACACCAGUGGCGAAGGCGACGAUCUGGCGCAUAACUGACGCUCAGUCCCGAAAGCGUGGGGAGCAAAUAGGAUUAGAUACCCUAGUAGUCCACGCCGUAAACGAUGAGUACUAAGUGUUGGGUGUCAAAGCUCAGUGCUGCAGUUAACGCAAUAAGUACUCCGCCUGAGUAGUACGUUCGCAAGAAUGAAACUCAAAGGAAUUGACGGGGG